ACGGGGUGCAGCAGGCGCGAAAACUUUACAAUGCGGGAAACCGCGAUAAGGGGACACCGAGUGCCAGCAUCUUAUGUUGGCUGUCCGCAUGUAUAAAUCACAUGUGUUAGCAAGGGCCGGGCAAGACCGGUGCCAGCCGCCCCGGUAACACCGGCGGCCCGAGUGGUGGCCACUAUUAUUGGGUCUAAAGGGUCCGUAGCCGGUUUGGUCAGUCUUCCGGGAAAUCUGACGGCUUAACCGUUAGGCUUUCGGGGGAUACUACCAGGCUUGGGACCGGGAGAGGUAAGAGGUACUACGGGGGUAGGAGUGAAAUCUUGUAAUCCUGGGAGGACCACCUGUGGCGAAGGCGUCCAGCUGGAACGGACCUGACGGUGAGGGACGAAAGCCAGGGGCGCGAACCGGAUUAGAUACCCGGGUAGUCCUGGCCGUAAACGAUGUGGACUUGGUGUUGGGAUGGCUCCGAGCUGCCCCAGUGCCGAAGGGAAGCUGUUAAGUCCACCGCCUGGGAAGUACGGUCGCAAGACUGAAACUUAAAGGAAUUGGCGGGGGAG
rnacentral:rRNA from 1 species